UUCUAGGCAGUUCCUCAGAGGUGCCCGGGGAACUGAGACUCAGUUGCCACCGUGGUGACUGGCUCAGUUGCAUCUCCAUUAGCUUCUGCUCCUUCUCCAUUCCACCCCACACUUCACCUUCUAGGAACGACUGCCAUAUAAACUGCCUGUCCCAGGCUCUGCUUUUAGGGGAAACCACCUAAGACAACCCGUCUCUCCACAGUACCUUUCUGGAGCAGGAGCUAAUGAGAAGUGACAAACCCUAGAGGUGCGGCAGUGGCUAAUCUCUGGACUGCCUGACCCUCUGCUCCCGGCUUUCUAGCUCUUCUGGACCCUUUGAAUUCUGGGAGAACAUGGCCAAGGCAGGAGCAGCCCUCCUUCACACCCUCCACCAGAGCAGAAGGCAGGCUUUACGUGUCUUCAGGUAUGAAUCAGACACUCCUCUGCCUGGGUUCUGGGGACCAAUAUUACGCUGGCUGAGUGAACUCAAGCCCCUCCUCUUGCUCCAGGUGAGGGAGCAGCACCUCCCACCGUUCCUCUUGGGGGUGGCCCUGGAACUCACAGCAUCCAGGUGAGUCACACCAAAGAAAUUCUCUUUAGAAUCCCUCUCUUCAUCACCAUUGCACGGGGGACUGGGGAGCUCUGACGGGUUCCCAGUACCUGCUUUGAACAUGCUUUUCUUGGUCUAGUGCCCCAGUUGGUGUCUUAUAUUUAUACCUUAGGGCUCUAGUCAAAAUGCUCAUUUUAACAUCCUGUUUUAGCACCAUAGGCCCCCAUUCAUCUUCUCUUCUCUGUUCUUCCCUCCAAUUAUCUAAAAAAAAAAAAGAAGAAAAAGAAGAAGAAGGGGAUGGGAGUAGGGCAUAAUUUCUGCCCAGGUAUUAUUUUUACUUCAAGGCCAUGGAAAGUUAGCUUGUGCCUUCUUGCGAAGGUCCACUUGCUCUGGGAGACUUACGUGCCUCAUCCAUGAGGUCAGAGCUCCCACCUGCAGAUGCAUAGUGUGGAACAGUGGCCCAAACGGGGUUGAAGGACAGUGGCUGUUUGGUUCAAAUCCAAGCUCUGCCAUUUACUUAGCCUCUCAGAGCCCUGCAGGGAGGGAAGGAUGAAGUUGAGUCAUGGUAGGUGCUUAAUGACAACUGUCUGAUUUUUCUGGCCCUUGGGAUAGUGUCCAUUUUCUUUUCUUUUCUUCCAAAGCCCUUCUUAGGGCACUCUUUUGUUGUAUAACUUUCCAUAACUAUCUCCUGUUGAAAUACUUCUCCUGGUCUAAAGAAGAGGGAGGGAAGAAUAUACAACAAGAAAUAAGAGGAAAUAACCUAAAAAUCAAAUUCAUUUUUGCAUAGAUCUGAGAGCUGGAAAGACCUUGAGAGAUCAUCUCUCUGAUCCUGACUGUGGUUAUGUUACAUGGCAUGUUCAAUUUUCACUUUCCAUAAUUUAUGUAAAUGAGUAUCACUGCUCCUAAAACUCAGACUAUCUUUUUCUUCACCAAAUACAUAUUUUUCCAAGCAGAUUCAUUCAAAACUAUACUGCCUCUAAAAGGACCAAUACAUGGAUAUAGUUUAUUCAGCACCAUGAAUUUGCAAGAAGUUGGGGGCAGGAGGGGGCAUUGUAUUGAAUCUUCAUCAUUUUUGUUUGUUUCUUUGUUUUCUAAGCAAAAUAAAGGAUCUCACAAUCAUCUGCCUCUACCACUGACUUACAUGCUUCACUUGAGAUUGCCACCAUCCUCAAGUUCAUGGGGCUGCUUCCCAGAGAUGGCAAUCUGUAGAUGCAGCAGUAUAGCUGAGCACACAAUGCAGAAGCUUUCAAAGCACAGAAAGGAUGCAGUGCUUGGUGUCUGGUACAGGACAGAGAAUGUGUUUUCAAGCUGCCCAGCCCAUGCUAGAAUCCCAUGCUUGUUUCUAAAGUUUAUGCCCAGAUAACCCCAUUGUAAUAGGAAAAAUGGUAGCCAUGCUUAUUCUAUUCCCACAGCUGAGUGCAAAUGUCUACUGUGGAAAAAUCUACACAGAGCAACUCUGUCCUCAGUCCUGGACCCCAGCCAGAGAUCAGGUGAUGUGUGUGGUUAGCUAAAAAGCGACCAAGACAAAAAGUCCCAAAGGGUCAUAUGAUCCACCCUCUCAGUUGGGAAAGCAAGUCAGUACCAGUCCCACUGACAGUGGGGCAUCUCGGGAGGGGACCAUCCUGCUCUGCGGGGAGGUGUCACUGGUCCCGUAUAGGUCUUUUCAACCAUGUUCACAUACCUGGCUUGAGUUUUAGCAGAUGCACCACCAAGAAUAUGAAAGGCCAGAAAUAUAAUAGGAACCAAAGCAUUCCCGCAGUUGAGAGGGAGAAUGACAUUUGAAUGCCAGUGCAGAGCUGCUUCUGGUCUAGGUCAGUGGUGCACAGUGCUGUACAGAAAAGGAAAAUGUCUGUUACUAUUCGUAGGACAUAAAACAGGAGUAAUAAAACCUGGAAUCAGCACCAAAGGACCCAUUGUUAUAAAGUACUACAAAAUGCCCCUAUUCGCUCUUGCAGUUUAUAGAAGCUUCCAAGUGGAAGCUGGGGUCCCUUGUCCUUGGAUUUCUGUCUUUGAGAUGCAGCUACUAGACUCCUGUGUGUUGCUCAGAGGGGGGUGCAGAGGGCACUCUGCUGCAUCCUUGCCUGUUGUACCCAGAUGGAUAGCUUCGCUUCGGCUUUCCAUGCAGAAAGCAUCUAAGGAAAUUUCUUCUUCCCGCUCUGCCUUCAUUUGCCUAAAACAGUUUGUGUUGCAUGAGGACAAAAAGGCAAUGGAUUCUCUCACAAAAUAAGAGACCGUUCCCCCCCGAACCCCCAAAAAAAAUACACACGCACAUGCACGCACACAAACAUUAGCCUUGGCUGAAAACCCCCAGGGCAACAGAGAACAUUUCCAAGCCCGGCCACCAUCUGAGUAAAAGUAAUUUUUUAAUUAAAACAAACCCCAUUUCAUACUUCCCACAAUGAUGUAAUGGCAGAUCCCUAUAGAAACGGCAUGACAUGCAGCAACACAUGUGAAAUGGAGGUAAAAGGAAAGAUUAAAUGAAAACACGUAUUUGAGAUGGUUAUUAGGAACAGUAACAUUUCCAGGAAUGGGUCACUUGGGAAAACAGUUGAUUUGGCUGGGGAUAAACAGUGCCUCUUAGGUGUGCCCUGAGAAGUCGCGAUGAGAACUUAAUUUUAAGUCUGCAGAUUGUAAUAAGAACUUGGUUAUUUAAAGUCACCGCCAAAGAGAAGGGGACAACCAUAAGCCAGCCCUCAGAGGAUGAACUGUAAGAGGCUAGUGUUACCCUUGGGGUCAGAAGGGGUGGGGCAGAGACUAGUUAAAUAUGCUGAAGCUAAUUUCUACUUGUCUUUUCAAAUGCUCUAGCAAUGGGAACCCUCUGAUUACACUGUCCUUGGCCACAGUGGAGCAACAAGGGUGUGAGAUCAGCAUUAAUGUAUGAGGCAGAAAGGAAAGCGAAGACUCAUAUUCCAACUCCACCAAGAGCUCUCUACAGGCUAAUGGAUUUUGGUAAAAUGUUUGUAAUCUGAUGCUUCUGGUCUUAAUUUUUCUGUUUGUAUUUUACCUUGCUGGACAUUCCAUAUUCCUCUGUAACUGAUGUUAUUUUUGCAGAAGAUCACACGAUAGACAAUGUGACAAUUCUCUUUUUGCCCAAGCUGGAUUCUAAAAUUUGAAAUAGCUGAUGUUCUCUUCCUUCCUUAAAUAACUAAAGUACAGCUUUGGUACUUAAACUUGGUGUUCCACUGAGAGUGCUCAUGUAGGCUUAUUUGAACUGUGCAAAGGGUAAAAACUGGAUGGUCAGGCAGGCAGAUGGGUGCAUGAUGAGCCAUUUCCUGAGACUGUGCUAGGGGACACAUCAGGGCAGUGCAACAUCCGGUAUGUAGAGGUUGGAAAUGAAGAAUUUGGAGCUAACAGCCUCUUAUGUGUGCACCUGAGAUCAAGAGGAGUCUAACGAAAGAUUGGUUUUACCCUUGUGUCACAUGUAUCCAAAAUUAACUAGGGUCUUCGUUUUUCAUAUUGUCAUGAAGUCUACAAAUAAAUCAUGUCAGGUGUAAGCUUCCCAGAGAUUAAAACUGGCUACUUUAAUCUCCCUUUAAAACAUCAUUACAUUUCUCUGGAACAUAAAAGCAAAUGCUGUGAGUCACAAAAAUAUGAAAUCUCAAGGUCAAUUGAUAUUGUGUCACUCAAGGCUUCCCAGAUACCCAAUAGAAAUUCCAUUACUUUGUGUGUGUGUCUUACAAUCUUGCUCGUCUUGCCUCCUUACAAUUCAAUGACCUUCAAAUGUAAUAGCUAUUGUUGCAGGUACUUUCAUCUUUACCUGAGUGAAGCAGAAUCAAUGUGCUUGACCAGCAAUUCCAAUUAAGCCACGAUAGACCAUCCUGCUGAAUCUGCAAGCUUUGGAUUUAUAUUGAAUUAAUGCAAGUUGAAAGGGGUUCCCGUAUUGUCACACUUAAUGCAUCCUUGUCAAAAAGAAAUGUAAUUACAAUAGUGCACGGCCCUGGUAGGUUGAUCAACUUAUGCAAGGCGACAACCAUGAAUUGAUCAUGUGGGAGUAUCAGUGAAAAUCCCAGGGACUAUUAUAAAAUGUGCUGCUUUUAGAUUGUUUAAUUCCCUAGAGCCUGGAUGGUUCAGAUGAUUAGUAAAGAGAUACACAUUUAGAGUCACUUACUUUCAGGUCAAUGGUUUAAAUAGACCAAUAGGUAGUAUCAAAGGCAAGUGCUCCUUGUCAGUUUUUAUUAUUUAGACAAAAUGUAGGUCUUAGUCUAACAGUUUUUUUCCAUGUAAGUCCAAGAAAAAUUUUUUUUAAUGUUUACAGUUAAAUAUUUUGCUUGGAGUAAAAAAAAAAUCUUUUCUGAAAAAAAGCAAGGGAAUUGAUAAGAUGGAGUAGACAAAGCAACAUUUACAUCUACUGUCGGGAGCCAUUUCUGACUUAGGCAUUAGACACACGUUAAAGCAUUAGCUUUGCUGAUCAACUUUAAUAUUAGUUUUUGGCUUGCUAAAUUUAAUUAGAAGAGAAAGAAAUCUAAGCUCUAAGGUGAUUAAAAAGAAAACAAGAGGUGCAUCUGGUUACUUAAGUACUGUGAUAGGUUAACCUAUGUAGUAAUGUGGAUGUGAUGGCUGGCAAACUUAACUCUCUUUUCUCAUCAACCACAGUGUUAUGUUUAUUUCCUAUUUGAGAUACUACAGAAAAGAAAUUUAUAUUCCCUCUUCUCCUCUAAACUAACCAAAAAUAACAAGGAACACUAGGAAACACCUCAUCCUUGAACCUCAAUGUAUGAAGUGUUCCACUUUCAUCUGAAUGCAGUGAAAACUGUGCCCAGGGAAGGGAAGACUCAGAAGUCUGAGCUCUACAGACCUGAGAUAACAUGUUCUCCAUGUUAUCUAGAUGGCCCACCAGAGGGGUAAAAUGAGGUGCCUUACUUGGAGAAGCAGGUCACAGUAUGUGGGUAAACCAGGUGUGCUUCCCACAGAGAACUUAUUUUUGCAAGAAACAGGCUAUCAGUGAGACUGGGUUUAGAAUAAACCUGGAUGGCAUGCAGAGCUGCAGCGUUGAUUACCUGAAGAUAAGUAAUGUUUAAAUUGCCAAACAGGAACCUGUGACCAAGGAGCCAGAGUGAUUUCCCCCAGCCAGGCAAAGAAUCACACCAACCAGGCAGAGUACAAUGGCAUGGUAUCCAGAGCAACAUAGCAAAUUUUCCUGUUAUCCUAGUGUAUCCCAGCAUAUCCCUAUGCUUUUGUU